AGUAAAGUUUUAUAGAAAAUUUCAUUGACUUUCAAAGAUAUUACAAAAUUUGUACUAACUUUAAAUGUAGCUUUCAGAAAAUCAAGAAAACCUGCACUAUCAAACGGUUAAAAUAAUAAAUGACGAUAAAUUUUCAAAGAAGCCAACCAUCAAUGUGCGAAAGCCUUUUCAACAGUUGGACAAUCGUAUUAACAUUAGAAAAAAACCAGCGUCAACAUCAA